CAGUAGCCGCGGUAAUACGAAGGGUGCAAGCGUUAAUCGGAAUUACUGGGCGUAAAGCGUGCGUAGGCGGUUUGUUAAGUCUGUUGUGAAAUCCCCGGGCUCAACCUGGGAAUGGCAAUGGAUACUGGCAAGCUAGAGUGUGUCAGAGGAUGGUGGAAUUCCCGGUGUAGCGGUGAAAUGCGUAGAGAUCGGGAGGAACAUCAGUGGCGAAGGCGACUAUCUGGGACAACACUGACGCUGAGGCACGAAAGCGUGGGGAGCAAACAGGAUUAGAGACCCCCGUAGUCCCUGUCUCUUAUAC
rnacentral:rRNA from 1 species